GAUGAACGCUAGCGGCAGGCCUCACAUGCAAGUCGAGGGGUAGAACACUUCGGUGUUUGAGACCGGCGCACGGGUGCGUAACGCGUAUGCAAUCUACCUUGUACAGGGGAAUAGCCCAGAGAAAUUUGGAUUAAUGCCCCAUAGUAUAUAACCUUCGCAUGUUGGUUAUAUUAAAGUUCCAACGGUACAAGAUGAGCAUGCGUCCCAUUAGUUAGUUGGUAAGGUAACGGCUUACCAAGACGAUGAUGGGUAGGGGUCCUGAGAGGGAGAUCCCCACACUGGUACUGAGACACGGACCAGACUCCUACGGGAGGCAGCAGUGAGGAAUAUUGGUCAAUGGGCGCAAGCCUGAACCAGCCAUGCCGCGUGCAGGAAGACGGUCCUAUGGAUUGUAAACUGCUUUUAUACAGGAAGAAACAACUCUACGUGUAGAGUCUUGACGGUACUGUAGGAAUAAGGAUCGGCUAACUCCGUGCCAGCCGCCGCAGUAACAC
rnacentral:rRNA from 1 species